rnacentral:lncRNA from 1 species
UCAGCGGCACCACGUCACCUCCCCUACGAGCACCACGAGUUGGCAUGGUCCGUACGGAACUUUUUAUUGUGAUUUUUUUUAAAUUUUAAUAUAUUUUAA